GGUGGAGAGCACCACCGAGGUCUCCACGAAACGCAGAAACUGCUGGGCCUCUGCGUCUGUCAGGUACAAGGCCAGGCUCAUGGGGCCCGGCCAGUGCCUGCACAGGGCUUCCAGCAUCUGCACCCUGGGGUGAGGGGAGUGGUCAGCCCAGGGAGGGCUGGGAUGCCUCCCGCGCUAGCUGCCACAGACACCCCCUCAAGUGACUUGCUGAGCACCUUCCAGGCUCUUGUUGACAUGCUCUUAUUUAAUCUUCACGACUACCCCACAAGGUGGGUACUUUCUCAUUUGACAGAUGAGAAAACUGAGGGCCAGAGAUAUUAAGCCUUGCCCAUGGUCCCACAGCUACGGAGGGGCAGUUCCAGACAUCUGAAUGAUUUCCAAAGCCCAAGCUCCUUCCACCAUCUCCGGUGUCUCCAACUCCUGGAACUCCUCAAGCAUCAGGCACAGGUUCCCAUCGUACUCCAGGAAGGUCAGGUAGAGGUUGCGGAAGGAUUCCACAUGCUUGUUCUUCACGCGAAGCUUCUUUGACGUGAGCACGUACUAGCUCUAUCAGCAACUCAUCCUCUUGGGGGUGAAGGGGAGGCAAAGCACAGCUUACAGAGCACCUCCACAACCAUCUUCUCAAAUGUGGUGAUCCCAGGGCUGCUAAAGUCACCACCAUUUAAUGCAUGAGAAAACUGAGGCUCAGAGGAACCAAGUGAUUUGGCCAUAGUCAUUCAGCAUGUACAGACAAGGUUGGAACUGUGAUUUCUGGCUCUUCUCCCAGUGUUCCUUCUACAGAACCGUUCUUCCUGGGGGGUCUUCCAAGCAUUCUGUGCCCUAGCCAGCCCCUGGGGCCCAAGGACCAGUGGCCACCCCUCCUGCCUCCCCCGCCCCCCCCAA